GGUCUUUUACGUCGGCCUUCGCGAGCGUCUGGGCGGGUGGUAGGAACAAUGGCGCUGUCUUCAGUGGCACAGUGGAGCAGCUCUGAAGAUGCAAAGUGAGGGUCGCUGUCUGCCCAUUGAUAGAGGCCAGAUUGUCUUGGAAGUUCCAAAGUUGCAACGAUUUCUGGCUAGUGCCACGAGGUUUACUUGACUGUUGUGUGAAAAGCUGAUAAGAAAACCAUCCAGAAAAAAGCUCUUCGUUUUACAAACAUGAAAAUAAAACAUGUAAUUUUGGAUUAUGUUCCUUUUUGUUAUUACUUUUAAAUAGGUCCUGAAAUAACAUGGGGAGCAUUAAAUGGAAAAUCCACUAACCAGCCUUGUAAUCAAAUUACUGUGAGUGAAUGUUUCGGGUUUGUGCAGGGUACAAUGUAAGGGUUUUUGGAUCAGUGUAAGAGUGGAGAGACAGGAAUUAGAAGUAAUUGUUACUAAGCAAAUCAUGGAAUAUUUAGUUUUGAUGUAACUAUAAUUUUGAAAGCCUGGAUGCUUAAGUUGAGAAAUGGGGGAAUGAGAUACAGAAAAUAAGGAGCACAAUAGAAUAAUAAUAGCAGUUUAUUAAGUAUGGUCAUGAGGGAAGGUUACUGAUAAAACAAUCUGGUAAAGACAUUCAGGCUUGCUAAAAUCUAGGAAGAGGUCAUUUGGCAGGAUGGGUUACAUAAUGCUAUCUGAUACUACCAAAUAAAAUGAGAGAGAAGCCUUAGGCAUGUAACGUUUGGAGAUAGAAAAUGUACCUUCACUAUGAAGGUAGUGUGUGUAAGAUGGCAGUUGAAAGCAUUGCUUGUGUUUAUGUUUAUACCCUUGAUCUCUGAUGCCCUUACCUACCGUACUUAAAACUCUGUUAAUCAUUGUCUUUCUCCCCCUCCCACAACUUCUGCAUAAAAUUUUAAGAUCUGUGUUUCAUUAGUUCAAGAGUGCCUAGAAUAGGGCCAGGCACUGUUAUACAGUAUGUGGUAAAAGACUAUUGAGAUUCCAGUUUUCAAGGAAGAGUGCCAUUACCGUUUUGUUAAAGCUGGCAAACAAGACAAAGUUGUGAAAUAGACUGGUUGCUUUGGA
rnacentral:lncRNA from 1 species